rnacentral:rRNA from 1 species
AAUGAACGCUGGCGGCGUGCUUAACACAUGCAAGUCGCACGAGAACGGUUUGGCUUGCCAGACCAAGUAAAGUGGCGCACGGGUGAGUAACGCGUGGGUAAUCUACCCUUGAAUUUGGGAUAACCCUUCGAAAGGGGGGCUAAUACCGGAUAACAUCAUAGGAUCUUCGGGUUUUAUGAUCAAAGAUGGCCUCUACAUGUAAGCUAUUGUUUGGGGAUGAGCCCGCGUACCAUUAGCUAGUUGGUAGGGUAAUGGCCUACCAAGGCGACGAUGGUUAGCUGGUCUGAGAGGAUGAUCAGCCACACUGGAACUGGAACACGGUCCAGACUCCUACGGGUGGCUG